GGCUAGGAAGGUAGCUGGAGCUGGCUGCAGUCUAUCAGACCUCUCCCCUUCUAAUGCUAAAACCCAUCUCAACCAUGUGCUCAAAUAUAGCAGUAAACCCAAAGAUAUUUACAAGUACCAUGCUGGAAUUCACUGAGCUCCUGAGAGCGACCCAUUCUUUCACUAAUGUUUGUAGAAGCAGUCUGCAGGUCUAGGGCCUUGGUUGUAUACAGCUGUGGACAUGGAAGUGAUCGGAACACUUGAAUUCAAUGAUUUGGAUGGUUUGGCAGGACCACGUUUGGUUUAGAGGACAUUCAAUCUUCCAAAGUACCAACCAAAGUCAGCAAAAUGCAUACGGCAACAACUUGUGUUCCUCUCCCUCACAAAGUGACAAAGUGACUGCUCUCCUGAGCCUCAAGUCCCAGACAAAACUCCCAGGUGCAAUGUCUUUUACAAUGUUAGAAAUGCUAUAAUGUUAGUGCUGAGAGUUCUUGAACAAUGCAAAAUGUAAUUAGGUCUCUAAAAUGAGCAUCAGACAGCUUGUUCUCCAUCUUGCACUUUUACCAGAACUUCCAGACCUUUCUAUGCCUUUAGAGAAGGCCUAAUGAUUUCUGGGAACAAAUAAAAUGCAUUUCUUUUA